ACGUAUUCCUUGUAAUCUUCCCCCAGGUGUUAAAAGAGACUCUGAGAAUGUACCCCACAGCUCCGGGCACAUCUCGUCAUAUUGCUGAAGACAUGGUGAUUGAUGGGAUCCACAUACCUGGAGGAUUUGUUGCUCUUUUCAGCUCCUAUGCGAGUGGGAGACUGGAGAGAUUCUUCAAGGAUCCACUGAGAUUUGAUCCAGACAGAUUUCACCCAGAUGCUCCCAAGCCUUAUUACUGCUACUACCCUUCUUUGCCCUCGGUCCUCGUCGUGCUCUGGG